GUUAACAGUUCAUUUCACGAACAGUGCUUUCAAAGUGUUCCAAAGUAAGGGAAGAAGAUGAAAAAUCCGCGCCACUUGGUGUUUUCAAUCAUGAUUUGUGCUUUGAUGCAGGAAACCAGCAACUACAAUGAUUCUAUUGUCAUCAGGCUCGACCAAUUUGAAGAACUGUGGAAAUGCGAACGUUUUUGCACAAGUUACAAAUCGCAAUUAAAAAACAUUUGCUUGAAAUUGAAAGAGUCUGCGCGGGGCAUGUAUUACCCCACAUCAGAAAUAGAAAAACUGUCCAAAUGUGAGGAAGGAGUAUUUGUUCGAUUAAGUGAAAAUGGUAACCAACAGCUAUAUCAAAAACACAUGGGAAUGUGUUACUUAGCCCAAGGUAACACCAAAUGUAUAUCAGCCGGUGAGAAUCGCGGCGAAAUUAUUGUAUAUGACUACGGCGGGGAAUUCUGUGAACCAAAAAGUAUAAAGGAAAAUUAUUUUGACGAAGGACAGAAUCGGCCAACAAGACCGUGGUGGAAAAUAUGUUGUGGGUAAUGGGAUGAUUUCAUUUAAUGUAAUAUGUACAUUACCUACCUACUCAGUUAUGAUACAAAAUUACAUUAUGUAAUAGGUACAAUACAUAGGUAGGUAUAACUGACAUAUCGAUCUCAUUACCCAUAAAAUUGAUCGAUAAUUUAUUAUCUAUAUAUAUGUAUUAAAAGAUCUUGAAAUGUUGUUCCAGCUCCUCUUCUCAAAUAAUAGUCUUUUACUGCACAUCCAAGUAUGAUUUUUCAAUUUUUUAUCUCUUUUGGGUCACUUUUAACGAAUGGAAAAAAUUGUAUACCUCCUAUUCAUUUAACCACUUUUUUCAAAAUUCCAACGCCUGAAUGUACUAAAUCUCAAAUUUUAAUUGAAAUUUCAAAACAGACAAUUUCUGCAGAAAAUAGCUCUAUAACUAACAUGUCCUCCUCUCAGGCUUGAAUCAAUUGCCAUUAUUUUCGAGACAAUUGGAGCCUCCAACAAUUAUCUAUGAUCGAGGAGGGAUAGUGACUUCUUCAUGAAUGCUUGAACAUUAUGAAAUGCCAGGGAGUGCUGCAAUGUGACUGUGUAAAGCUUUUCAAAGUGGUAGAUAAACCUAUUUCGAUAUUUCUGCAGAAAAACAAUCGUACUGCUAACCUUUGUAGGAUGUAACUAUUUGGUGACAAAUAUCGAGAAAGAAUAUCCACGGAGUGAUAAACAGAUUUGAUGGGUGGAUUGUAGAUUAUCUGAACUUAGGUGCUGUUAAAAGCAUCUGUGUUCCUUUCAAUUCUUGUUUCGGUCAUUUCAAGCCUACUUGAUAAUAUUUCCCAUAUUAUGUACUCUGCGUAUUCAUGCUCUGUUUUUUCGGAUUUUUAUCGAGACAGGCGAAUCAAAUUUUUGAAAAAUCGCUCUGGUCCACCAUUUACACACCUUUCUUAAUUUCAUUUUGUGAAAGCUCAACCAUCAAUAUGUUCAUCCAAAAAUGGAGCAUGGGUCCAAGUAUUUUAUACCAACUUUUAUCAAUGUUUGCCCCCCAAAAAGGGGUGAGGUGUUCUUUGGAAUUAUGCUUUCACUCAUUCAUUACAUCAAUCUAAUGAAACUAUAUCAUUCAGUUCCAAGAUUGACCCAUCGGGUUUUUUGCUUCCUCGAUUUUUGACAAUAAUCAAAUAAAUAAGUCCAUCAUUAUCGAGGUGGCUUCAAGGGGCUGGGGGGUGAACUGUCAGUAAAAGUGAUACUUGUGAUGAUCUUAUUCAGGAAAUUAAAAGCAUUUUUUCAUAACAUCUCAGGAUUUGCUUGAGUGUUUAAGGGUUAAAAAUGGCCACAAACGAUUACAGAUAGGUUCACUUUGGAAGGUGGUAGAAGUUUCGAGUGUUUGUAUUCACAUUUUUAAUUCUAUAGGUCACUGCCUUGUAGGAAAAUAGACUAGUACACUUUUCAUAACCCAUCAUCUCCGGAUUGCGAUUCACUUACCCUUAUCAAUAUUCUGACAUCGAUUUCAUCUCAAUUAGAAUUGGCACAUUUUCAGCUGUUCGAGUUGAAGUUUGAAAUCACUGGAGACAGGGCUACGUUUUUCUGAAGGCUUCACAUCGGUUCAAAGUCGUAGCCAUAUGGGAUAGUUUUAAUCAUAUUUUGACGUCAAAAACCAACAAUUCUUCGCAUCCUAGUUUAACACGUUUAGUCGCCAUCAAGUUGGAAAAAUGAAGAAUUGAGUCGUCAAGAGGGAGAUUUGCGGCACAAAAUUUCGAAAAAUGCAAUAUGGAUAUUGAGUUGGAGGUGUUUUAAGGCAUUCGCGCCAAUUUUGAAAUCCGUUCGACACCGAAAUCAAAAUCGAGUCUCUCAGAGUAAGAGAGGAUCUUGAGAUCAUGAAAUUUCAAAAAAUGCAAUUAAUUUCGAUUUUAGAGUCAGUCGGAUGUUGGAAUCAGAAUCAACAUUAUACUUACCUAAAAACCCCACAUUUCGAUUUUCUAUACGGAAUUUUAUACAAAAAAACUGAAAGAAAACUGAAUAAGUAAAGCUUUUGGCUUUGGCUAGCUUUUAAGUUUUAGCUUUCAAAUCCCCCCCAAACUUCCUCAGCUUUCAGCUAGCUUUCCUUCAAAUUUCAAGUUAUUUAUAUAUUACUCGUAAUCGUAAUUAAAAAACUAUUCGGUAUUCGACAUAAAGCAUGUUGAAUGAAUUGAUGAAAAAAAUCAUUAAAAUAAAUAAUAAAUUAAUAAUUCCAAAAUAUAAUUUAUAAAAUCUC